UACGUAGGCAGCGAGCGUUGUUCGGAGUUACUGGGCGUAAAGGGUGUGUAGGCGGUUCUUUAAGUUUGGUGUGAAAUCUCCCGGCUCAACCGGGAGGGUGCGCCGAAUACUGAGGGACUAGAGUACGGGGAGAGGAAAGUGGAAUUCCUGGUGUAGCGGUGAAAUGCGUAGAUAUCAGGAGGAACACCGGUGGUGUAGACGGCUUUCUGGACCGUAACUGACGCUGAGACACGAAAGCGUGGGUAGCAAACAGG
rnacentral:rRNA from 1 species